CGCGCAGGCGGCGAUUUUUGUCAGGCGUGAAAGCCCCGGGCUUAACCUGGGAACGGCGCUUGGGACGGGAUCGCUAGAGAUCGGGAGAGGAGAGUGGAAUUCCCAGUGUAGAGGUGAAAUUCGUAGAUAUUGGGAAGAACACCGGUGGCGAAGGCGGCUCUCUGGACCGAUACUGACGCUGAGGCGCGAAAGCGUGGGGAGCAAACAGGAUUAGAUACCCUGGUAGUCCACGCUGUAAACGAUGUGUGCUAGACGUUGGGGAGCCUAGCUCUUCGGUGUCGCAGCUAACGCUUUAAGCACACCGCCUGGGGAGUACGGCCGCAAGGUUAA
rnacentral:rRNA from 1 species